rnacentral:rRNA from 1 species
UACGUAGGGGGCAAGCGUUAUCCGGAUUUACUGGGUGUAAAGGGAGCGCAGACGGAAAGCCAAGUCUGAUGUGAAAUGUCCGGGCUCAACCCGGGAACUGCAUUGGAAACUGGUUAUCUAGAGUGCAGGAGAGGUAAGUGGAAUUCCUAGUGUAGCGGUGAAAUGCGUAGAUAUUAGGAGGAACACCGGUGGCGAAGGCGGCUUACUGGACUGUAACUGACGUUGAGGCUCGAAAGCGUGGGGAG